rnacentral:rRNA from 1 species
UACGUAGGGUGCGAGCGUUGUCCGGAAUUACUGGGCGUAAAGAGCUCGUAGGUGGUUUGUCGCGUUGUUCGUGAAAACUCACAACUCAAUUGUGGGCGUGCGGGCGAUACGGGCAGACUGGAGUACUGCAGGGGAGACUGGAAUUCCUGGUGUAGCGGUGAAAUGCGCAGAUAUCAGGAAGAACACCUAUGGCGAAAGCAGCUCUCUGGGACGGUACUGACGCUGAGACGCGAAAGCGUGGGGAGCGAACAGG